UACAGAGGUCUCAAGCGUUGUUCGGAUUCAUUGGGCGUAAAGGGUGCGUAGGCGGCGCGGUAAGUCGGGUGUGAAAUCUCGGAGCUUAACUCCGAAACUGCAUUCGAUACUGCCGUGCUUGAGGACUGGAGAGGAGACUGGAAUUUACGGUGUAGCGGUGAAAUGCGUAGAUAUCGUAAGGAAGACCGGUGGCGAAGGCGGGUCUCUGGACCGCCACUGACGCUGAGACACGAAAGCGUGGGUAGCAAACAGG
rnacentral:rRNA from 1 species